UACGUAGGGUGCAAGCGUUAAUCGGAAUUACUGGGCGUAAAGCGUGCGCAGGCGGUGAUGUAAGACAGGUGUGAAAUCCCCGGGCUUAACCUGGGAACUGCAUUUGUGACUGCAUCGCUGGAGUGCGGCAGAGGGGGAUGGAAUUCCGCGUGUAGCAGUGAAAUGCGUAGAUAUGCGGAGGAACACCGAUGGCGAAGGCAAUCCCCUGGGCCUGCACUGACGCUCAUGCACGAAAGCCAGGGGAGCAAACGGG
rnacentral:rRNA from 1 species